rnacentral:rRNA from 1 species
GACGAACGCUGUCGGCGUGCUUAACACAUGCAAGUCGAACGGAAAGGCCCUGCUUUUGUGGGGUGCUCGAGUGGCGAACGGGUGAGUAACACGUGAGUAACCUGCCCUUGACUUUGGGAUAACUUCAGGAAACUGGGGCUAAUACCGGAUAGGAGCUCCUGCUGCAUGGUGGGGGUUGGAAAGUUUCGGCGGUUGGGGAUGGACUCGCGGCUUAUCAGCUUGUUGGUGGGGUAGUGGCUUACCAAGGCUUUGACGGGUAGCCGGCCUGAGAGGGUGACCGGCCACAUUGGGACUGAGAUACGGCCCAGACUCCUACGGGAGGCAGCAGUGGGGAAUAUUGCACAAUGGGCGGAAGCCUGAUGCAGCAACGCCGCGUGCGGGAUGACGGCCUUCGGGUUGUAAACCGCUUUCGCCUGUGACGAAGCGUGAGUGACGGUAAUGGGUAAAGAAGCACCGGCUAACUACGUGCCAGCAGCCGCGGUGAUACGUAGGGUGCGAGCGUUGUCCGGAUUUAUUGGGCGUAAAGGGCUCGUAGGUGGUUGAUCGCGUCGGAAGUGUAAUCUUGGGGCUUAACCCUGAGCGUGCUUUCGAUACGGGUUGACUUGAGGAAGGUAGGGGAGAAUGGAAUUCCUGGUGGAGCGGUGGAAUGCGCAGAUAUCAGGAGGAACACCAGUGGCGAAGGCGGUUCUCUGAGCCUUUCCUGACGCUGAGGAGCGAAAGCGUGGGGAGCGAACAGGCUUAGAUACCCUGGUAGUCCACGCUGUAAACGGUGGGUACUAGGUGUGGGGUCCAUUCCACGGGUUCCGUGCCGUAGCUAACGCUUUAAGUACCCCGCCUGGGGAGUACGGCCGCAAGGCUAAAACUCAAAGGAAUUGACGGGGCCCCGCACAAGCGGCGGAGCAUGCGGAUUAAUUCGAUGCAACGCGUAGAACCUUACCUGGGUUUGACAUGGAUCGGGAGUGCUCAGAGAUGGGUGUGCCUCUUAUGGGGUCGGUUCACAGGUGGUGCAUGGCUGUCGUCAGCUCGUGUCGUGAGAUGUUGGGUUAAGUCCCGCAACGAGCGCAACCCUUGUUCACUGUUGCCAGCACGUUAUGGUGGGGACUCAGUGGAGACCGCCGGGGUCAACUCGGAGGAAGGUGGGGAUGACGUCAAGUCAUCAUGCCCCUUAUGUCCAGGGCUUCACGCAUGCUACAAUGGCUGGUACAGAGAGUGGCGAGCCUGUGAGGGUGAGCGAAUCUCGGAAAGCCGGUCUCAGUUCGGAUUGGGGUCUGCAACUCGACCUCAUGAAGUCGGAGUCGCUAGUAAUCGCAGAUCAGCAACGCUGCGGUGAAUACGUUCCCGGG